rnacentral:rRNA from 1 species
UACAGAGGCCUCGAGCGUUAGGCGGAAUCACUGGGCUUAAAGCGUGUGUAGGUGGAUGCCUAAGUACCUUGUGAAAUCCCACGGCUUAACCGUGGAACUGCUGGGUAUACUGGGCGUCUUGAGCCACUCAGGGGCUACCGGAACAAGCGGUGGAGCGGUGAAAUGCGUAGAUAUCGCUUGGAACGCCAAUGGUGAAAACAGGUAGCUGGGGGUGUGCUGACACUGAGACACGAAAGCCAGGG